rnacentral:lncRNA from 1 species
GAGACUGGAAACCAAAGAGAAGAAGCGCUAUUCACAUGCAAUCAGAUUACGAUGCAUGCUUAUAGCCUUAGGAUGAAAGGGAAGAACGGAGAACUACUUACCGGUAAAAUUGGGAAAACUAAUCGGUCGAAAAGGGAGCCCUCUGCGUCGUGAUCGCUAGGGCACCACCUAAUUGGAAAUCCACUGGAUCAGUGAUGAGAAGAAGUAGAGAGAAGGAGGAGAAAAUGAUGAACUGAGUUUUCUAGAGAGAGGAUGGGGUUUGAGCUUUUGAACCUGAUUUCAGAAAUUUGAAAUAUAUAUUAUAUAGAAAAAAAAAAUUACAGGUUCUCACAAAUUAGCUCUUUAUUCACCUUUUAGUCUUUUUUUUACCUCGUUAGUUA